rnacentral:rRNA from 1 species
GACGAACGCNGGCGGCGUGCUUAACACAUGCAAGUCGAACGAAGAGCGACGGAAGCUUGCUUCUAUCAAUCUUAGUGGCGAACGGGUGAGUAACGCGUAAUCAACCUGCCCUUCAGAGGGGGACAACAGUUGGAAACGACUGCUAAUACCGCAUACGAUCUAAUCUCGGCAUCGAGGAUGGAUGAAAGGUGGCCUCUACAUGUAAGCUAUCACUGAAGGAGGGGAUUGCGUCUGAUUAGCUAGUUGGAGGGGUAACGGCCCACCAAGGCGAUGAUCAGUAGCCGGUCUGAGAGGAUGAACGGCCACAUUGGGACUGAGACACGGCCCAGACUCCUACGGGAGGCAGCAGUGGGGAAUCUUCCGCAAUGGACGAAAGUCUGACGGAGCAACGCCGCGUGAGUGAUGACGGCCUUCGGGUUGUA